AUUGAACGCUGGCGGCAGGCUUAACACAUGCAAGUCGAGCGGAGAUGAGGUGCUUGCACCUUAUCUUAGCGGCGGACGGGUGAGUAAUGCUUAGGAAUCUGCCUAUUAGUGGGGGACAACAUUCCGAAAGGAAUGCUAAUACCGCAUACGUCCUACGGGAGAAAGCAGGGGAUCUUCGGACCUUGCGCUAAUAGAUGAGCCUAAGUCGGAUUAGCUAGUUGGUGGGGUAAAGGCCUACCAAGGCGACGAUCUGUAGCGGGUCUGAGAGGAUGAUCCGCCACACUGGGACGGAGACGCGGCCCAGACUCCUACGGGAGGCAGCAGUGGGGAAUAUUGGACAAUGGGGGGAACCCUGAUCCAGCCAUGCCGCGUGUGUGAAGAAGGCCUUAUGGUUGUAAAGCACUUUAAGCGAGGAGGAGGCUACUGAGACUAAUACUCUUGGAUAGUGGACGUUACUCGCAGAAUAAGCACCGGCUAACUCUGUGCCAGCCGCCGCGAUAACAC
rnacentral:rRNA from 1 species